GUCUGCCUGUUACUGUCGUUAGAUAUGCUUGGACAACCUUAGCGAUUCUUUUGUCAGUACGAGAUCGUUGCUUUACCUCUCUGCAGUGUAAAAAGCUGCAUUCUCACCUUUUGGCUGAUAUUCUUGUGAAGUCUUAGAAAGAAGAUGGAGAUCGUGAUGACGUUUGCUAUCGGUUUGUGACAAUUAUGACUUCUGUAGUUUGCGACGGGAAGACUCCACUUUGAUACUAUAAUUGUCCUCAGCUGCCUUUGAUUUGCUUGCUCCGAGUUUAGUUUACAUUUCACGGGCAUUGCCUUUGUGUGCUUAUUCUUUCUCAUAUGCCUGCCUACUUUUGUAUCUGUUGAGCUAUCUGUGUAAAAGUGCAGCGUGCUAAGGUGAAGUGUCGUGUUUGUGGGGAAGAGAAACAGAGGAGGAUUGAUAAUGCUUGUAGAGCUCUACGACUUCUUCGGACGGCUUGCGUAGUUUGGCCAAAUUCAGCCACGGAGGUGCUUUUAGCUGGGUCAUUUGAUGGUUGAGCCACCCAGGAUUGGGCUGGUUGGGAUUCUAGGUUGAUUUUCGUUUUACUUGUGGAGAAUUGAAGUGUUGCAAGUUGAAUAAGAAGUAAUGAAUGAAAGUGACAGUGACGAGGGUUCAUUAGACUUAUGUGAUAAUGAACUAUAUAUAUCCGAUGAUGAAGAGAUCAAUACAAGGGAGAUGAGGAAA